AACGCGAAGAACCUUACCUGGGCUUGAACCGCUACUGACCAAGGGUAGAAAUAUCCUCUUCCCGCAAGGGACAGUAGUAGAGGUGCUGCAUGGCUGUCGUCAGCUCGUGCCGUGAGGUGUUGGGUUAAGUCCCGCAACGAGCGCAACCCUUAUUCGUAGUUGCCACCCGCAAGGGGGAACUCUACGAGGACUGCUCCGGAUAACGGAGAGGAAGGUGGGGAUGACGUCAAGUCAGCACGGCCUUUAUGUCCAGGGCUACACACGUGUUACAAUGCACGGUACAGACUGUUGCGAACCCGCGAGGGGGAGCUAAUCGGAUAAAACCGUGCUCAGUUCGGAUUGCAGUCUGCAACUCGACUGCAUGAAGCUGGAAUCGCUAGUAAUGGCGUAUCAGAUCGACGCCGUGAAUACGUUCCCGGGCCUUGUA
rnacentral:rRNA from 1 species